CCUCUACCCUCACCCCACAACCACAGAACCAUGGCACUGGAAGGGACCUCAGGAAUCAAAAGUCACAGGUGGCGGGCCAGAGAGAAGACAUGAGUUCCCCAAGGCUAUCCCAUGAGUCAGAGGCACAGCUGGCCCUAAAGCGUAGCCUGUGCACGCAUUCAAACCUGUGUGACCACGUCACCAUGCUCACAUGCAGCCCUUCCACCUCCCAGCACA
rnacentral:lncRNA from 1 species